UACGUAGGGUGCGAGCGUUAAUCGGAAUUACUGGGCGUAAAGUGUGCGCAGGCGGCCGAGCAAGUCGAGUGUGAAAGCCCCGAGCUUAACUUGGGAACUGCGCUCGAAACUACUUGGCUGGAGUGUGGCAGAGGGAGGUGGAAUUCCACGUGUAGCGGUGAAAUGCGUAGAGAUGUGGAGGAACACCGAUGGCGAAGGCAGCCUCCUGGGCCAACACUGACGCUCAUGCGCGAAAGCGUGGGUAGCAAACGGG
rnacentral:rRNA from 1 species